rnacentral:rRNA from 1 species
GUAACAGGCCGCAAGGUGCUGACGAGUGGCGAACGGGUGAGUAAUGCAUCGGAACGUGCCCAGUCGUGGGGGAUAACGCAGCGAAAGCUGCGCUAAUACCGCAUACGAUCUAUGGAUGAAAGCGGGGGACCAUAAGGCCUCGCGCGAUUGGAGCGGCCGAUGUCAGAUUAGGUAGUUGGUGGGGUAAAGGCUCACCAAGCCAACGAUCUGUAGCUGGUCUGAGAGGACGACCAGCCACACUGGGACUGAGACACGGCCCAGACUCCUACGGGAGGCAGCAGUGGGGAAUUUUGGACAAUGGGCGCAAGCCUGAUCCAGCAAUGCCGCGUGCAGGAAGAAGGCCUUCGGGUUGUAAACUGCUUUUGUACGGAACGAAACGGUCUGGGUUAAUACCUCGGGCUAAUGACGGUACCGUAAGAAUAAGCACCGGCUAACUACGUGCCAGCAGCCGCGGUAAUACGUAGGGUGCAAGCGUUAAUCGGAAUUACUGGGCGUAAAGCGUGCGCAGGCGGUUUUGUAAGACAGGCGUGAAAUCCCCGGGCUCAACCUGGGAAUGGCGCUUGUGACUGCAAGGCUGGAGUGCGGCAGAGGGGGAUGGAAUUCCGCGUGUAGCAGUGAAAUGCGUAGAUAUGCGGAGGAACACCGAUGGC